CAACAGUCAAGAGGCACAUAGAGCUUUGACUUGCCGCCAGUCUACAAGUGCAGCAGUUUCUGACAAUUGAUCUCAUUAUCCUCAGGAAGCUGAGGAAGGAGGAAUCUGAGUUCAAGAUUUGCUUGGGCUACUGGAUGACUAGAGAGUUACAGGAGAGCACAGGACAGGAGACUUCACCUGGAUCCUGCUGCAUGAAGCAGUGAGUUUUGACCUGUGAGCUGACAGACAAGCUCCUGCCUCUGUAAACAAAUGGAGCAGAGAGAUGGAAGCAGAAGCCAGUGGGAAGCAGGUGCGCAGACCCUGUACAGCUGCACAAAGGCCACUGUGCCCGGAGGGCAGAAAUGGCUAGAUGGAUUAGGCAAGGAUUACCACGUAAGGAUUUACAGAAAUUGAUUCAUUCCCUGGAUUCAGCUUGAAAGCUAGAGUUUUCACCUGGCUCCUCCUCUCCAUGCUCCAAAAAUGCCUCUAAGCUGAGGCUGCUGAAAUAGAACAAGG